GAUAUUUUAGGAUCAGCCUACGCUGAAGGUACAGCUGACAACAGUGAUGCUCAUAAAGUGGCUCCCAUCCGAGUUGCCAGAUCUGCAGCUAAAAAUCUUCUUGGGGCUAGGUGUUGUACUUGGUGUCGUCCGAGCUGCGGUUGUUGUUACGCCUGAUGUCUUCCAAUUAAAAGAAACAUGUAUUUCAUGUCUU